GACGAACGCUGGCGGCGUGCUUAACACAUGCAAGUCGAACGGAAAGGCCCUGCUUUUGUGGGGUGCUCGAGUGGCGAACGGGUGAGUAACACGUGAGUAACCUGCCCUUAACUUUGGGAUAACUUCAGGAAACUGGGGCUAAUACCGGAUAGGAGCUCCUGCUGCAUGGUGGGGGUUGGAAAGUUUCGGCGGUUGGGGAUGGACUCGCGGCUUAUCAGCUUGUUGGUGGGGUAGUGGCUUACCAAGGCUUUGACGGGUAGCCGGCCUGAGAGGGUGACCGGGCACAUUGGGACUGCGAGACGGCCCAGACUCGUACGGGAGGCAGCAGUGGGGAAUAUUGCACAAUGGGCGGAAGCCUGAUGCAGCAACGCCGCGUGCGGGAUGACGGCCUUCGGGUUGUGAACCGCUUUCGCCUGUGACGAAGCGUGAGUGACGGUAAUGGGUAAAGAAGCACCGGCUAACUACGUG
rnacentral:rRNA from 1 species